GACGAACGCUGGCGGCGUGCUUCAUACAUGCAAGUCGAACGAGAAAGUUUCCUUCGGUUGGCCGAGUAAAGUGGCGCACGGGUGAGUAACGCGUAGGCAACCUGCCCUUGUAUUGGGGAUAACAGGACGAAAGUUCUGCUAAUACCGGAUGAGACCUUGGUUCGGUGGGAUCGAGGUGAAAGUCGGCCUCUUCUUGAAAGCUGACGUACGGGGAUGGGCCUGCGUCCGAUCGGCUGGUUGGGAGGGUAGUGGCCUACCAAGGCGACGACGGGUAGCUGGUCUGAGAGGAUGAUCAGCCACACUGGCACUGGAACACGGGCCAGACUCCUACGGGAGGCAGCAGUGAGGAAUUUUGCGCAAUGGCCGCAAGGCUGACGCAGCAACGCCGCGUGGGUGAAGAAGGCCUUCGGGUCGUAAAGCCCUGUCAGGUGGGAAGAAAGGAUCUGUCAAGAAACGGGUGGAUUUUGACGGUACCACCAGAGGAAGCACCGGCUAACUCCGUGCCAGCCGCCGCCGUAACAC
rnacentral:rRNA from 1 species